rnacentral:lncRNA from 1 species
UCAUCCAGCAUAGACAACAAGUAUUCAGAUAAUAUGUACACAUAGCAUGUAGUUUAUAUAAAAUACUUCAUAUCUAUGUGUAAGAUGAAAGGGACUAUGCACUCACCUGAAAGGUGGUGACUUAGCACCCGGACAGCGCUUCGAUACUCUGAAAACAAUUUCCUUCGAUAUAACCUAGUAUCAACACCACUAGGGUUUAGUCUAACGAUAACCGCGACUAAUUAAUAGUCUAGCUAUUAUUAUUAUUAUAUAAGCGUUAAAUAACACUCAAUAUAACUCAUAAUAAUAUCCCAAAUAACUAUUUUAAAGACCUAAUAACAUUACUAUAUCGAAACAUAAGCUACACUAAAGAUAGGGUAGGCGUAGCUCACUAACAACGGGUUUUCUCGAAAAUCGGGCUUCGCUGGAGCAGCGUUUCCGAGCUGAAAGACCCUUUUUCUUAGGACUUUGGGAGCCUCGGGGCUUCCUUUGGGUGCUAGGGGGUUUACAUAGGCUUUAGGGGGUUAGGGAUGCUUAGAGAGAGAGUUUAGAGAGAGAAAGAAGAGGGUUGAGGGGUGAGGAAGUUGGAAUGCCUGGCACCUCUAUUUAUAGGCGUGCUGACUCCCCUACUCGCCGAGUUGGUACAUGUGGUGGCCUUCUGGUGGUGCCACGUGUCCAAUUCUUGUGGUGCCACGUCACCCCUUAUUGCGUAUCAGCCUUCAAACUUAGAAAAAUCAUAACUCUCACAUACGAGCUCUGUUUUUGACGUUCUUUAUAUCCACGCAUAGGUAAAAUCUUGAUCUACAACUUUCGUUUAGACUCCGUCGGCUAAUUCUCGACCGAUCUCAAAUUUAACAGUAGGAGGCAUUUAGAUUGUUAAACGACCACGAAGAAUUCGUAUCUCCUUCAUACAGACUCCGUUUUCGUCCAUCUUUUUACCGUUGAGUUUCUAUUAAUGAGAUCUUCAACUCUCAUUUAGGUUGCGUAAGCCAAAAACCGCUCGAACUAAAAUUCGAGUUUCUGGCUGUACACUACUAAGCCGAAUCUUAGAAAAAUCAUAACUUCUUCAUACAAAGUCAGAUUUGGGCGUUCUUUUUAUGGAUUUUCUCGGUUUAACAUAUUCUAUGACUUUCGUUUAGAUCACUAAGGCUAAAUCUUUCUCUAUCUUAAAUUCACUUUUUACACUUCCCGGUGCUGUGCUGGUUCCGUCGCGAAACUUCGACGGGUCAUAACUUCUUCGUUAUAACUCGGAUUUCGGCAUUCUUUAUAUGUAUGGAAACCUUGAGACAUAUACUACAACUUGGUUAAGACUAUUUAUUAUAAAUAAUAUUUUGCCAAAAAUUCGUUUUCGACACUUAUCUCCUCUAAAUUUACUAGCCCGGAUCUGCGGGUGUUACAACUAUCUCCCCCUUAGGAUGAUUACGUCCCGGAAUCAUCAACGAAACAAGAUUGUAUAACUACUCCAUACGUUAUCUCUUCAUCCUAGGUAAUAACUCUAACUUCUAUGUUGCUUCGAACGAGUAUCUAACUCUUGGACUCCUUGACUGCAGGCGGUGCUCGGUCUUGCACCUGCUCGUUAGACUUUCAAUCAUGACCUUCGUGUCACAACCUCUUUCUUCAUCAGAGAAUCCUUCUUCUUCUUAACAAACUUAGGAUAAGUUACUUUGAUUACUACAAUUGACCGAUGUGUCAUAUUCUAAUGACCUAUCAUCGUAUGUAGCAACGCUUAGACUCAGGUCUCUUAGAGUCAAAUUCCGGAAUGGAAUAUACCUUCCUUCGUGGUCUAAUGUGAUAUAAUCACAUUUUAACAUGUAGCAUUUCUAGCUACCAACAUCUUUAACAACGAGCGUGAUACUUCUAUUGAUCACUUUGAUUUCAAUCGUUUGGUUUAAGUCGAAAGCUACAUCAAACUUGGUUCUCUGAACCGCGUAACCUACUCAUCGUAGUUGGACUCAAUGUGAUAUGACCAUUAGGGUCGGGAUAACAACAAUCUUCUUAGUCUUUACCGAAACAAUGGUAACGACAUACUUGAAUAAAACGAAAUCAAUUACUAGCUUCUUGGUAACCUUGUGACUUUCCCUGAUCCAAGCGUGAGUCCUGUGCUUCCGGUAGUAUAUGCAUCUACUACCUUUCACACCUACUCAUACUCAUCCCAAGUAUUGUCUCACAGUACCCAAUUCACCAUAAAAAAUCACAUAACAGUCUAACACACCAGAUAACGAAGGUUUUAUAUUAUUCCUUGAAACUACUACACAGGUGUUCAAGUUCAUCCUAGACUAUGCCUCUAAUAGGCUAAGUUCAUCCUAGACUAUGCCUCUAAUAGGCUACACCACGUGGUACUAUCUCCAUGACCACUUCAUAACUUCAUCUUCGGUCAUCCGUCCUUACUCUUGAUUCCUUGCAUUGCCAGCUGCUUUGUCAAGGAUGCUCCUUAGCUUUGGAGGUGCAUUCGCUCCUACUGCUACACAUUUUUCUUCGGGCAGUCCCUAGAUAAAUGUCCUUCUUUGUUACAUCCAUAGCACACCUUACUCUUAGACGUGCACUUGCUGGCGUAAUGCCCCAUCCUUCCACAUUUGUAGCAAGUCACCUUCCUGUCGUAUCCCUCAUAGUGCUUUAGCAGUACAUUUGGCGUUGUUGCUCUCAUCGAACAAUCUUGCUUGAAGUGUCCCUCUCCACUACACUUAAGGCAAACUUCCUCCCUGGUUGAGCAUUUGUGGGCAUUAUGACCAAUCUUCCAGCAUUUAAAGCAGGUCACUUCCUUAGGGCAUUUCCUAUUACACCAUUUUGCUUUACGUCUUCCUCCUCUAGAUUGUGAAGAUAAGUUUUUCCUGUUGGACCUUGAAGAUCCCUCAAAUUUCCUCUUCUUGCCAACUUCAACUUUGUUGGCGAUCCUAUCGUUGAUCUUUUCUUCGACAGACUUAGCAACCCAGAUGGUUGCCUCAAGAGCGGGUGCCUGGCGUACUAGCACAGUAAGUUCGUCCUUACUUUGUUGAAUUAAGCACCUUGUUUCUCUCAUCUAUUGAUCCAACAUCAUCCGUACCAUUGCCUGUACUCCUUCCAUCGUGAUUGGUUCGGGUGCAUCUGCUACUUCUGGUGUACGUUCAAUCACUUGUGGCUUAGGCUGUGGGUUACUAUCUCCGAAUCCGCUUUGAGUGUUCAUCAUGUCGAUCUAUAUAUCGAAUUUAGAUGUCUGGUGUAGAGUGACGAGAAUUUAGAUAGAGAAGAUUUUAUUUACGAUCAACGUGUAAUUCUCCUUAUCUCUCCGAAAAAUUAUAUGCCAGUUCUAAUACCAUGAUUAAACGUUUAGAAACCUAAACACAAAAAGUUUCCAGAUCCGGUCGGCAAUAGACCAUAGAUCCGAACAAAUAAUAGCAUCAAUAUAGCUAUCACAUAAAACAUUUAGCACAUAAAAGCAUUUUAGGCAUCAUUCCUAAAAUAAACUAGUGUUUGUGUCAAUUCAGGUGUACUACNGCUAGUGCUCACACCUCACAAUCAUCGCUUAGCAUUCUAAGUUUAAGUCUAGAAAUAAAUCCAUAUUCCUAGUUCGCUUAAACUAAUGCUCUGAUACCAACUGUGACAUCCCCAUUUUCACGGCCAGAAAAGACCGAUGUUGUUUAUGCUUUAUAAAAAUCAGAGUACUUCAUUUUAUAAAAAUGUUGCGGAAUUUGUUCCCAGAAAAACAUGGUAAAUACGUUAUUAAAACAUUUUCGAAGAAACGUAUUUAUUUCAUUUUAAAACGUUUGGGAUGUCAUCGUUAAUACAGAAACAUAAGCAUAAACAGAACUUACAAUUAUUUACACUAGUGAUCUACAUCUCUUUAAAUCUCUCAGUGUAAUGUGACUUCAUAUCAACACCUGUGAUAUAAAUAAACUGAGUGGGUCAGGUUGGGAAACCUGGUGAGUACAUAGGGUUUUCAACCCACAAUAAUAUAAUUAUUAUGUUUAAACAAUCAAACAAUCAACCCAAUUACCCAUACCCAUUAUCUUCUUUACUCUUAAGGAUUUAUCCUAAGAGUCAUCUAUCCUGCAUUCGUUUAUUCCGAAGUCCCUUACUUCCAGGGUUAUAGGAAUGGCACUAAAUCCAUAGCUGCCGACGUUCGUUCGUAAAGCACUAAAUCCAUAGCUGCUAUAUCCUACUCAUCGGGUACUAAAUCCAUGGCUACCAGUGUUUAAUACGUACUAAUUCCAUAGAUACCAAUUCCUAACAGGUACUAAAUCCAUAGCUACCAGCGUCUAACUAAUAGGUACUAAGUCCAUAGCUACCAAUUCCUAACAGGUACUAAAUCCAUAGCUACCAACGUCUAAUAGGUACUAAGUCCAUAGCUAGCGGUGUUUGUCCCAUAGGCACUACGUCAUCUUCUAUCUCUCAUCAUUCAUCUACCCAUCUUAUACCCAAAAUAUUCGUAUAUAUAAAAUACGUAUACAGUUUAAAUCCUUUAAAACAUGUAUAAAACGUUCAUCCAGCAUAGACAACAAGUAUUCAGAUAAUAUGUACACAUAGCACGUAGUUUAUAUAAAAUACUUCAUAUCUAUGUGUAAGAUGAAAGAGACUAUGCACUCACCUGAAAGGUGGUGACUUAGCACUCGGACAGCGCUUCGAUACUCUCAAAACAAUUUCCUUCGAUAUAACCUAGUAUCAACACCACUAGGGUUUAGUCUAACGAUAACCGCGACUAAUUAAUAGUCUAGCUAUUAUUAUUAUUAUAUAAGCAUUAAAUAACACUCAUUAUAACUCAUAAUAAUAGCCCAAAUAAUUAUUUUAAAGACCUAAUAACAUUACUAUAUCGAAACAUAAGCUACGCUAAAGAUAGGGUAGGCGUAGCUCACUUACAGCGGGUUUUCUCGAAAACCGGGCUUCGCUGGAGCAACGUUUCCGAGCCGAAAGACCCUUUUUCUCGAGACUUCGGGAGCCUCAGGGCUUCCUUCGGGUGCUAGGGGGUUU